rnacentral:misc_RNA from 1 species
CCGAGUUAUCAACUCCCAAACCCCUGUGAACUAUACUCUUGUUGCCUCGGCGAUCAAGCCCUACCCGGUAAAUCGGCCGGACGGCCCGCCAGAGGACAACCCUAAACUCUGUUAUCUAGUGAUUACUUCUGAGUACCUAUAAUAAGUCA